AUAUGCUCAUCCUGGAAGAUGCUUAAUUCUCUCUCUCUCUCUCUCUCUCUCUCUCUCGCUCUCUCUCUCUCUCUCUCUCUCUCUCUCUCUCGUGCGUGUUUGUGUCUCAGUUUCCAUGUCUGUCACUUGGUGUUUGUCAUUCCCCCUCUAUAUUUGUCUUGUUUCUAUUUCUAUUCUAUUUAUUCUCCCUCUUUCUAUUCUCUCAUUCUCUCACUUUCUAUUCCUCUCUCCCCAGACUUUUAUUGGAGCUGACACGUUUUUUAAACUCAUUAACAGUGAGUGGCACCGAACUCCACACAGCUGGGACAGCGCAGUUCUCCUGCUCGGUCUCCCUCUCUCUCUCACUGGCCUGCUCCCCAGUCCUCUCUUCCUCCCUCUCUCUCUCUCUCUCUCUCUUCCUCUCUCUCUCCUUCUCACUUUGCUCUCUUUCCCAACACGCCUUCGCUCGCAAAAUCAUUCAUCACUUGCAAAUUGAUUCUCUCCUGAUUCCUAUGAAUGUAUCUACCAUCCCACCACAGAUCUCACUCUCUCUCUCUCUCUCUCUCUCUCUCUCUUACUCUCUGACUUUUUCUCUCUGUCUCUCGCUCUCCCUUCGACGCGCUGAACUCGCAACCUUUCGCGAGAGGCGAACUCGAGCCAGCCCGUUGUCCCGCUCGCCUGCAAAUUCAGUCACUCACAAUUCCCUCACUCGCUUGCAAAACAAGUCUGCCCCAGUCAUUCAGUGCCGACUCAUUCACUGUAAAACCAUUCAGUCCUAACAUCAUUCACUCCCAAAUCCAUUCUCAGCUCAGCACAGGGAGAGAGAGAGAGAGGGAGAGAGGGAGUGCAAGGCGGGAGACACAGGCAGGGGGUAACAGAGAAGGGGGUGGGCGGAAGAGCGAGAGAGCGAGAGCGAGAGACAGAGAGAGAGAGAGCGAGAGAGAGAGAGAGAGAGAGAGAGAGAGAGCGAGAGAGAGAGAGAGAUCUGUGCCCCCCACCCACACACACUGUACGUGCAGGACAGCAGGACCCCCC
rnacentral:lncRNA from 1 species